rnacentral:rRNA from 1 species
AGAGUUUGAUCUGGCUCAGGAUGAACGCUAGCGGCAGGCUUAAUACAUGCAAGUCGUGGGGCAGCAGGUCCGUAGCAAUACGGAUGCUGGCGACCGGCAAACGGGUGCGGAACACGUACACAACCUUCCUUUAAGUGGGGGAUAGCCCGGGGAAACCCGGAUUAAUACCCCGUAAUAUAAUGAAGUGGCAUCGCUUUAUUAUUAUAGCUCCGGCGCUUGAAGAUGGGUGUGCGACUGAUUAGGCAGUUGGCGGGGUAACGGCCCACCAAACCUACGAUCAGUAACUGGUGUGAGAGCACGACCAGUCACACGGGCACUGAGACACGGGCCCGACUCCUACGGGAGGCAGCAGUAAGGAAUAUUGGUCAAUGGACGCAAGUCUGAACCAGCCAUGCCGCGUGGAGGAUGAAGGUCCUCUGGAUUGUAAACUUCUUUUAUCUGGGAAGAAAUCCAUGAAUUCUUUUGUGGUUGACGGUACCAGAUGAAUAAGCACCGGCUAACUCCGUGCCAGCAGCCGCGGUA